UCUUACUCAUUGUCUCGUUAGGCUACUGACUCGAGCCCCCGCUUUUAUUUAGUUUGUGUUUUUUUUUCUUUUUAGUUUGCGUCAAAGCCUUUUCCCUGAUUUCUUUCGAUAUUGCCCCCUGAUUUUCAGCUUUGCACACUACAGAUGCAUUAAAUACUCCUUCGAUGGCGUACACAAUUUUCCCUCUCUUUUCUCUUCACCUUCUCGAUCUUCCAUCGAACCAACUCUCCCCCCCCAAGGACGGCAAGAUGUACCAACGGAGAGUCACCUGUUUUCUUGUCAUCGUCAUCGUCCUCCUUCUCCCGCCCCUGCUAGCUUCCUAUCCAUGUAUGGCCACCGCACAUGGCCCACCACAUCAUGCUCCAGGUGGCGACGCUGGUGCGUGGGGUCAAAUGAAUGGACUUCAUCGUCAAGGGGAAAAGAUGUCAGGGAUGGGAGCUGUGAGGCGCUUGGGACAGAGGAUACCACUGAAGGACCCUCCCUCGCCAAUCCCGAACGAGAACUCGGGGGUGGUGAUUCCCUUGACGCCGCCGCCACCGCCACCGCCGUCGAUCAAUUAAUAGGUGUUGGGAGUCUGGUACGAGCAUAUGCCAUGGUGACUUCCAUGCACCUCUGGUCUCUUACUGAUGUGUUAACAAGAAUAAUCUUGCUGGUGUGAAAUAAGUUGUCAUGCUUCAAAGUCUUAAAAUGUAUUGUUCACUUCUCUAUAUCAAUCUGGACUUCUGAGGUAAAUGGCGGAAAUAACUUUU